UACGAAGGGUCCUAGCGUUGUUCGGAAUCACUGGGCGUAAAGCGCAUGUAGGUGGCUUGAUAAGUCAGGUGUGAAAGCCUCGGGCUCAACCCGAGAAGUGCAUUUGAUACUGUUAAGCUUGAGUAUGUGAGAGGGUAGUAGAAUUCCUGGUGUAGUGGUGAAAUACGUAGAUAUCAGGAGGAAUACCGGUGGCGAAGGCGGCUACCUGGCACAAUACUGACACUGAGAUGCGAAAGCGUGGGGAUCAAACAGG
rnacentral:rRNA from 1 species